CCAAGAUGAUGAAUCAAUUUUUUGCUUGAUCAUUUUUUGUGAGAGCAAAAUAAACUGAUUUAAUGAGACUGAUUG